UAAGAACGACUCUCGGCAACGGAUAUCUCGGCUCUCGCAUCGAUGAAGAACGUAGCGAAAUGCGAUACUUGGUGUGAAUUGCAGAAUCCCGUGAACCAUCGAGUCUUUGAACGCAAGUUGCGCCCGACGCCAUCAGGUCGAGGGCACGUCUGCCUGGGCGUCACACGC
rnacentral:rRNA from 1 species